rnacentral:tRNA from 1 species
UGGCUUAGUUGGUUAAAGCGCCGGACUAGCGAUAUGGAGUCGUGGGUUUGAGUCCCAC